UGGGGAAUAUUGGACAAUGGGGGCAACCCUGAUCCAGCCAUGCCGCGUGUGUGAAGAAGGCCUUCGGGUUGUAAAGCACUUUCAGCAGUGAGGAAAGGCGAGUGGUUAAUACCCGCUUGCUGUGACGUUAACUGCAGAAGAAGCACCGGCUAACUCCGUGCCAGCAGCCGCGGUAAUACGGAGGGUGCAAGCGUUAAUCGGAAUUACUGGGCGUAAAGCGCGCGUAGGUGGUUCAGUCAGAUGUGAAAGCCCCGGGCUCAACCUGGGAAUUGCACCUGAUACUGCUGAGCUAGAGUACGGUAGAGGGUAGUGGAAUUUCCGGUGUAGCGGUGAAAUGCGUAGAGAUCGGAAGGAACACCAGUGGCGAAGGCGACUACCUGGACCGAUACUGACACUGAGGUGCGAAAGCGUGGGUAGCAAACAGGAUUAGAUACCCCGGUAGUC
rnacentral:rRNA from 1 species